rnacentral:rRNA from 1 species
UACGGAGGGUGCAAGCGUUAAUCGGAAUUACUGGGCGUAAAGAGUGCGUAGGUGGUUGACUAAGUUAUCUGUGAAAUUCCUGGGCUCAACCUGGGACGGUCAGAUAAUACUGGUAGACUCGAGUAUGGGAGAGGGUAGUGGAAUUUCCGGUGUAGCGGUGAAAUGCGUAGAGAUCGGAAGGAACACCAGUGGCGAAGGCGGCUUUCUGGUCUGCUCUUGACGCUGAGGCGCGAAAGCUAGGGGAGCAAACAGG